CCUACGGGAGGCAGCAGUGAGGAAUAUUGGUCAAUGGACGAGAGUCUGAACCAGCCAAGUAGCGUGAAGGAUGACUGCCCUAUGGGUUGUAAACUUCUUUUAUAAAGGAAUAAAACGAGGCACGUGUGCCUUUUUGCAUGUACUUUAUGAAUAAGGCUCGGCUAACUCCGUGCCAGCAGCCGCGGUAAUACGGAGGAUCCGAGCGUUAUCCGGAUUUAUUGGGUUUAAAGGGAGCGUAGGUGGGUUGUUAAGUCAGUUGUGAAAGUUUGCGGCUCAACCGUAAAAUUGCAAUUGAUACUGGCAGUCUUGAGUACAGUUGAGGUAAGCGGAAUUCGUGGUGUAGCGGUGAAAUGCUUAGAUAUCACGAAGAACCCCGAUUGCGAAGGCAGCUUACUAAACUGUGACUGACAUUGAUGCUCGAAAGUGUGGGGAUCAAACAGGAUUAGAUACCCUUGUAGUC
rnacentral:rRNA from 1 species